rnacentral:rRNA from 1 species
UACGUAGGUGGCAAGCGUUGUCCGGAUUUAUUGGGCGUAAAGAGCUCGUAGGCGGCUCGUUGCGUCGGCUGUGAAAACCCGCAGCUCAACUGUGGGCUUGCAGCUGAUACGGGCGGGCUGGGAUUCGGUAGGGGAGACUGGAAUUCCUGGUGUAGCGGUGAAAUGCGCAGAUAUCAGGAGGAACACCGGUGGCGAAGGCGGGUCUCUGGGCCGAUAUCGACGCUGAGGUGCGAAAGCGUGGGGAGCAAACAGG